rnacentral:rRNA from 1 species
GACGAACGCUGGCGGCGUGCCUAAUACAUGCAAGUUGAGCGCUGAAGGUUGGUACUUGUACCAACUGGAUGAGCAGCGAACGGGUGAGUAACGCGUGGGGAAUCUGCCUUUGAGCGGGGGACAACAUUUGGAAACGAAUGCUAAUACCGCAUAAAAACUUUAAACACAAGUUUUAAGUUUGAAAGAUGCAAUUGCAUCACUCAAAGAUGAUCCCGCGUUGUAUUAGCUAGUUGGUGAGGUAAAGGCCCACCAAGGCGAUGAUACAUAGCCGACCUGAGAGGGUGAUCGGCCACAUUGGGACUGGGACACGGCCCAAACUCCUAAGGGAGGCAGCAGUAGGGAAUCUUCGGCAAUGGACGAAAGUCUGACCGAGCAACGCCGCGGGAGUGAAGAAGGUUUUCGGAUCGUAAAACUCUGUUGGUAGAGAAGAACGUUGGUGAGAGUGGAAAGCUCAUCAAGUGACGGUAACUACCCAGAAAGGGACGGCUAACUACGUG